UUUUUUUUUUUUUUUUUUUUUUUAAUGGAACAACUUUUGCUUUUUUCCUGAUUACAGAAGUAAUUCCGGGUAAUUCGGGUAGCUCCCUGGUGGUGUAGUGGUUAGGACAGGGCGCUUUCACUGCUGCAGCCCAGGUUCAGUCCCUGGGCUGGGAACCAAGAUCCCAUAUCAUACCCCUGCACCUUUCGGCAAAACAAAAACAAAAACAGAUAUUGGUUUUAGGGGAAAAGUUCAUAUCAUCUUCCAAAAUAAAACCCAGCUGAAUUAAAGAUCUGAGCUGGGGCCUCUGCAGGGUAAGGAUUUACCAGGAAAAAGGAGAAAGCGCUUUCUAGGCUCCCAGGACCAAGGAGCCACCAGCGCCUCUCAGGAAAGGGAUUGAGUGGGUGGACCUGUUUGCUGGCAAGUCCCAACGCGCAGCAGGAAGGCUGUCCUGGGCGGGCAGGCCAGUGAGAAGGCAGUUGCAGGGAGAGGUGACAGCCUGGCCCAGAGGAGCAGGGGAGGCUGGGAGAAGUGGGUGUGUAGCUAUGGACUCUCCUGCCUGUAGAUGCGGGUAAAGCUGUCUUGUGAAAAGGAGACUGAGCUCACAGCUUCCCCCCAAAUCCCCUGGGAGGGGUAGAGGGGUCCAGGCUGCCUCCCACCCCCUUCUCACCAGGGCUUCUGAUUUGAGCCAUGGACUUGGGGGACCCAUCCACCCAGAUGGGUAGGCGAGACAGUGGGCAGAGAGGAGGAGUUUUGGGGUGCUUUGGGGCUCAAAAGCUGAGACAUUCAUAAACAGUUGGAUUCUAGGGUCUGAACCUCCAUCCUGGGAUCUGGCCCAGAAGUACAGCGUCAAGAGACAUCAGAACAGAGACCUGGAGUUCCCAUCCUGGCGCAGUGGAAACAAAUCCAACUAGGAACCAUGAGGAACUCCUAGCCCCUGUUUCUUGAGGGACUAACUAGACCCAGUUUCAGGCAGGAGCGAGGGGAUGUCGAAGCCCCUGCCACCUCUUUCCCCGUGGCCUCUCCAGGCCACCACACAGGUCUCGGUUUCCUCUGAGCCCGCUUGGAGCUCAGAGCUGUGGCGGGGGGGGACCCCUGACUUGUCCUGCAAGGGACCAGUGGGGACCGUCAAUGGCUUCCACACUGGGGGCUCGAAAGGGUCGGGGAGGGCACAGGGUGACCUGGGGAGGACCAGACCAGGGAGCUUCCGGGGGCACUCUGUCCCUGAACCAUGCCUGGGCCGGAACUGAGGAGCUCCAUGUGGGGAAGACUGAGAGGGGGCUUUUCAGGGGGAUGCAGUGACUCUGAGGCCAGCCUGAGGGUCUGUCAGCUGAAGGAGAGGGGACGACCUCUGCCACGUGACUAGGAUGUCCCCCCCCACUGUGGGGUUCUGUAUCCUAAGGAGAGGUGAGGGUGCAAGAGGCGGGGCCCUGGGGCAUUUGGGCCCUUGUGGGUGCCCCGUGCCAGCCAUCACCAUUGGUGGGUGAGCGCCCCCUCUACCCUGCCUGCAUCAUUGGGGGACUGGCUGAGGUUGGGGAAGAUUUCCCAGCUUCCUGCCCCGCCCAGUGGGCUCCAGGGUUUGGGACCCGGCCACUUCCCUUUUCAUGGAAAAGUACAAAACGCAGGUCUCGUGACUAUGGGCCAUGUGCUUAAUCUCACCCAGGGAAACAACGCUGAGAUUCCGAGCAAGGGAUCAGGCACCUCGAGGCGGGGACAAGCCCGAGACGAGCCCUCCUGCCUGUCUUCAUGGCAGAAGCACCUCCCAGGAGAGCCCCCAGCACGUGGCUGGCUGCCUCCUGCCCCAGCCCCCUGGUCUGAGUCUUGGCUCCACCACACACAGCUACACAAGGAGCUCAUCGGGGGGCCGGGCCAGGGGCAGCACCACGGGUGGCCCUAGCCCUUGGCAAGCUCUCAUUUUCAGGGACAUCCUGAUAGACAGGCAUUUCCUCUCCUGCUUUGGCAGUGAAAGUGGUGCAAUUUUCUCUUCCCUGUUUCUUGCCCAAUCAGACCAGGCUUCCAGAGGACGUGGCAGGUGGCCCGAGGUGGGGAGAGAGGCUGCGUCUGGACCAACCCAAGACGUGUCUCGGGGACCCACCCCCAGAGCGACUGCAUGAGGCCACGGCCCUGGAGGAGUGGGGGCCAGAGGCACUCUGACCUGGACCCCGACUGCUAGGUCCCUGGCACACAUCAUAGGUCCUUAGAGGCGUUCUGAGGUUACCCUUUCCAUACCCCUGGCUCCAUGAGGAGCAGCCCAACCCCAAAGCUUUUCCCAAAGGAAAAACCUAUUGCUGCUGCGUCUCCUCCAGCAGCCGGUGGACCUUCGCUGCAUGGAGAGUCCUAGUUCCAUCCCCCGAAACCCUCCUAGUCCCGGGGCCCGGAGACAGGACCGCAGGCAGAAAGUCACCUCUGGAGGUCACCAGGAUGCACACCCAGUUCUAGAGGCAGAAGUCUCCGACGAGCCAGGAGGCAGCUCUGCUUUGUGCCGAGGAGCUUGGCUCCGUGGAAAUCCCAGCCCUGGGAGGCCGCGGGCUGCUUCUCCUUUUAAGGCAACAUCUGAGCUCUCAGCUGCCUGCGCUGCGAGGCCCCAGCCCCACUCAUUCCU
rnacentral:lncRNA from 1 species